AGGGAGGGGAACCACCAGGGAGGGAACCCCUCACACCCCACCAGUGGCCAGGUGUCCUUUCCCAGCCCCCAGCCCUGGCAUCCUUCACAUACAGGCACGCAGCAUCUUCCUAUAGAGUCAGAACGCACAAAGCAGGGAGGAUCUCCGUGGGAUGUCAGGACCUUGACACGGUGUCCUUUCUGGUGACAAACGCUACGCCCUGAACGCCACUCUGUCAACAUUUACGCAUGUGCUCAGAUCUACCACGUGUAAAUAAUCCCAUUCAGGUCAGCAAAGCUAACCACACAUAUAAAGUUAAGCAUGUGUGAAAGUGUCUGAAGAACCGAGGCCAACGAUUGCAAAACAGUUGAAGCUGUAAUCCUCCAUUCUCAUUAGUCCCAACCUUCUCCAAAAACUUCCACUGUGGGCUUGAAAUCCUCCCCGUCUCAUUGAGCCAAAGGUGAUUUUUUUCUCCCCAGGAAGUCCCAAACCCUUCCAGCUGUUUUCAAGCUGUCGGGCUCCUAAAUUGCAUUUCUCAGUGAGGACAUCCUGCCCUUUUCACUCAGAUAGCUCAGAAUCCAUUGUGUGAACAAAUCUGCUUAUCUUCCUUGCUGCACAUCCAGACCUUCAGACAGCUCCGUCCAGCUUUCACUAAUGAAUGGAUGAACCCUCCCAACUUAUCCAGAAGACUCCGGGAGCUUUCCUUGCCCUGCAGAAGCUCUGCAUGGAGGAGACAAGGCAGGAUGGGACAUGUGGUGAGAACCCAGCGCACCUCCAGCACGAUGAGCCCAGUCCUGGGGUUCGAGCUGGGCGCUUCAAGGAGGGGAAGGGAGAAUCCCAACAAUGGGGAAUUCUUCAUUGAGUGCUUCCAUGUCAGGGGCUGACGUGAGGUGCAUUUCUUGCUUGCGUGGUCCAGGUGUGACCGUCACCUGCCCGCUUCUCCUUGGAGUCCUGUCAGUGAGUGGGAAGGUCAAGGGAAGCUCCUCCUCUGCUAACAAGGGCUAUCUGAAAUUAAAGCACAGAACUCAUUAC